ACUCCUACGGGAGGCAGCAGUGGGGAAUAUUGCACAAUGGGCGCAAGCCUGAUGCAGCCAUGCCGCGUGUGUGAAGAAGGCCUUCGGGUUGUAAAGCACUUUCAGUAGGGAGGAAGGUAGUGUAGUUAACACCUGCACUAUUUGACGUUACCUACAGAAGAAGCACCGGCUAACUCCGUGCCAGCAGCCGCGGUAAUACGGAGGGUGCGAGCGUUAAUCGGAAUUACUGGGCGUAAAGCGCAUGCAGGCGGCCUGUUAAGUCAGAUGUGAAAGCCCGGGGGCUUAACCUCGGAAUUGCAUUUGAAACUGGCAGGCUAGAGUCUGUAGAGGGGGUAGAAUUUCAGGUGUAGCGGUGAAAUGCGUAGAGAUCUGAAGGAAUACCAGUGGCGAAGGCGGCCCCCUGGACAAAGACUGACGCUCAGAUGCGAAAGCGUGGGGAGCAAACAGGAUUAGAUACCCUGGUAGCACAGAG
rnacentral:rRNA from 1 species